AAUAAAUCAAUUUUCCAGUUUUUAGAUACAAUAUUUGACUCUCUGUCUUAUUUAAAAAAAUAUGAUUAAUUUUUUUGUUUUUAUUAGAUGAUAAAAUAUGAAUAGUACUUUAUGUGUGACUAAUUUUUUUUAAAAUUUUUUGAAAAUUUUACAAAUAAGACGGAUGAUCACACACUCGACACGAAACCAAAAGGUUGCCUUUUUC
rnacentral:pre_miRNA from 1 species